rnacentral:lncRNA from 1 species
UCAUCUUGUCUUUUUCCCACUUCUGAAGUCUUUGAUGUUUUUCAGGUCUGGAGGGAAACACUGAAUUAACUCCUGCAGGAGAAACUAAAGGAGACGAGGAGAAGAAAAAGAAGAAAGACAAAGAUGCAGCUGCAAUCACUUCAGACAGUGAGAAUGAAAAGAAGAAGAAGAAGAAGAAGAAGAAGCAGAAGAAGGAUAAGAAAAAGAAGAAGAAGGAUUCCAGCUCAUCUUCCUCCUCAGACAGUGAGGAUGAUCACAAGAAGAAAAAGAAGCAAAACCAAGAAGAAGAAGAGGAAGAAGGAAUCAAGCAGUUCUUCCUCUGACAGCUCCAGUGAUGGUGAGAAAAAGAAGAAAGACAAAAAGAAGAAAAAGGAAAAGGAGGAUUCAGGAGGCGAGUCUGCAUCGGACGCAGAGAAAGAGGAGAAGGAGCUUGAGCUCAAACAGGAGGAUGGAAAGCUCACAGAAGAU